rnacentral:rRNA from 1 species
AUUGAACGCUGGCGGCAUGCCUUACACAUGCAAGUCGAACGGCAGCACGGGAGCAAUCCUGGUGGCGAGUGGCGAACGGGUGAGUAAUACAUCGGAACGUGCCCAGUAGUGGGGGAUAACUGCUCGAAAGAGCAGCUAAUACCGCAUACGACCUGAGGGUGAAAGGGGGGGAUCGCAAGACCUCUCGCUAUUGGAGCGGCCGAUAUCAGAUUAGCUAGUUGGUGGGGUAAAGGCCUACCAAGGCAACGAUCUGUAGUUGGUCUGAGAGGACGACCAGCCACACUGGGACUGAGACACGGCCCAGAUUCCUACGGGAGGCAGCAGUGGGGAAUUUUGGACAAUGGGCGCAAGCCUGAUCCAGCAAUGCCGCGUGCAGGAAGAAGGCCUUCGGGUUGUAAACUGCUUUUGUCAGGGAAGAAAUCCUCUAGGUUAAUACCCUUGGGGGGAUGACGGUACCUGAAGAAUAAGCACCGGCUAACUACGUGCCAGCCGCCGCCGUAAAAC